CAUUUAAAGAGUGCGUAAUAGCUCACUAGUCGAGUGACACUGCGCCGAAAAUGUACCGGGGCUAAACAUAUUACCGAAGCUGUGGAUUGUCCUUUGGACAAUGGUAGGAGAGCGUUCUAAGGGCGUUGAAGCAUGAUCGUAAGGACAUGUGGAGCGCUUAGAAGUGAGAAUGCCGGUGUGAGUAGCGAAAGACGGGUGAGAAUCCCGUCCACCGAUUGACUAAGGUUUCCAGAGGAAGGCUCGUCCGCUCUGGGUUAGUCGGGUCCUAAGCUGAGGCCGACAGGCGUAGGCGAUGGAUAACAGGUUGAUAUUCCUGUACCACCUAUAAUCGUUUUAAUCGAUGGGGGGACGCAGUAGGAU
rnacentral:rRNA from 1 species